rnacentral:misc_RNA from 1 species
UUGAAUAAACUUGAUGUGGUUGUAGCUGACUCUCUAGGGAGUAUGUGCACGCCCGUCAUCUUUAUAUUUCCACCUGUGCACCUUUUGUAGACCCAGAAGGCUUCAACUGAAGUCGUUUGGGCCUAUGUUUAUCAUAUACCCCAUAGUAUGUAUUAGAAUGUAUCAGUGGGCUUCGUGCCUAUAAACACUAUA